AGGACGAACGCUGGCGGCGUGCUUAACACAUGCAAGUCGAGCGAGAGCCAGCUGAGGGGUAACCCUCGGCUGGGGACAGCGGCGAACGGGUGCGUAACACGUGGGCAACCUGCCCCUGACACUGGGAUAACCCCGGGAAACCGGAGCUAAUACCGGAUACUCUCGGCCGAUCACAUGGCUGGCCGAGGAAAGGUCCGCCGGUCAGGGAUGGGCCCGCGGCCUAUCAGCUUGUUGGUGGGUAACGGCCUACCAAGGCGACGACGGGUAGCUGGUCUGAGAGGACGACCAGCCACACUGGAACUGAGAUACGGUCCAGACUCCUACGGGAGGCAGCAGUGGGGAAUAUUGCACAAUGGGCGAAAGCCUGAUGCAGCGACGCCGCGUGAGGGAUGAAGGCCUUCGGGUCGUAAACCUCUUUCGGCAGGGACGAAGCGAUCAGUGACGGUACCUGCAGAGAAGCCCCGGCUAACUCGUGCCAGCAGCCGC
rnacentral:rRNA from 1 species